rnacentral:misc_RNA from 1 species
UCCUAAGUCAGAUAGGGGACGAA